AAAAACAUCGCCUCUUGAACCCUUAUAAGAGGUCCAGCCUGCCCAGUGACUCUGUUCAACGGCCGCGGUAUCCUAACCGUGCGAAGGUAGCGUAAUCACUUGUUCUUUAAAUGUGGACUAGUAUGAAUGGCAUCACGAAGGUUAUACUGUCUCCUUUUUCUAAUCAGUGAAACUAAUCUCCCCGUGAAGAAGCGAGGAUAAAACUAUAAGACGAGAAGACCCUAUGGAGCUUUAAACAUUUAUAACACUUGCUAAAUAAAAUAUAAAUUUCAGAAUUAUUUACUCUUUAAGCAACUUGUCUAUAAGUUUUUGGUUGGGGUGACCGCGGAGCAUAAUACAACCUCCAUGUUGAAAGAUCUAUUUCUAAGCUAAGAGCUACACCUCUAAGCAUCAACAUAUUGACAUCCAUUGACCCAAUAUAUUUGAACAACGAACCAAGUUACCCUAGGGAUAACAGCGCAAUCCACUUCAAGAGCUCCUAUCGACAAGUGGGUUUACGACCUCGAUGUUGGAUCAGGGUUUCCCAGUGGUGCAGCCGCUACUAAAG
rnacentral:rRNA from 1 species